rnacentral:rRNA from 1 species
UACGUAGGGGGCAAGCGUUGUCCGGAAUCAUUGGGCGUAAAGAGCUUGUAGGCGGUUUGUCGCGUCUGCUGUGAAAUUCCAGGGCUUAACCCUGGGCUUGCAGUGGGUACGGGCAGACUAGAGUGUGGUAGGGGAGACUGGAAUUCCUGGUGUAGCGGUGAAAUGCGCAGAUAUCAGGAGGAACACCGAUGGCGAAGGCAGGUCUCUGGGCCACUACUGACGCUGAGAAGCGAAAGCAUGGGGAGCGAACAGG